rnacentral:rRNA from 1 species
AACGAACGCUGGCGGCAUGCUUAACACAUGCAAGUCGAACGAGACCUUCGGGCUUAGUGGCGCACGGGUGCGUAACGCCUGGGAACUUGCCCUUAGGUUAGGAACCAUUCCCUGUAAGGGGUCCUAAUACAGGUUAAUGUCAUCGGACCAAAGAUUUCUGGCCUUUGGAUGGGCCCGGGUUGGAUUAGCCAGUUGGUAGUGUAAAAGCCUCUCAAGGCGACGUUCCAUAGCUGGUCUGUGAGGAUGAUCAGCCGCGCUGGAGCUGAGGCACGGCCCAGUCUGCGACGGGGGGGAGGAGUGUGGAGUAUUAGGGAAUGGGCGAAGGCCUGGUCCAGCAAUGCGGCGUGAGAGAGGAAGGCCUUAGUGUUGUAAAGCUCUUUGACCCGGGAUGAGAAUGACAGUACCGGGAAAAUAAGCUCCGGCUAACUCCGUG